AAAGCAGGCUACCUUAUCGCUUCCCGUAUCUUGCGGGGGGAGGAAAGUCCGGACACCAUAGUGCAGCAUAGCGGGUAACACCCGUCGUCCCGGGUUCCCCGGGAAAGGACAAGUGCAACAGAAAGCAAGUACAGGUAAUGCUGUAGUGAAAUCAGGUAAACUCUAUGCGGUGAAACGCCAUGUAUAUCAGCGAUCGAGGGCUGCACGCCCGAGCUGAAGGGUAGGCGGUUAGAGCUUCCGGGUAACCGGGAGUCGAGAUAAAUGAUAAGGAUCUUCCCUAUGGGAGGAAACAGAAUCCGGCUUAUGGCCUGCUUUUUUU
rnacentral:RNase_P_RNA from 1 species